GUCCAGACUCCUACGGGAGGCAGCAGUGGGGAAUAUUGCACAAUGGGGGAAACCCUGAUGCAGCGACGCCGCGUGAAGGGAGAAGUAUUUCGGUAUGUAAACUUCUAUCAGCAGGGAAGAAAAUGACGGUACCUGACUAAGAAGCCCCGGCUAACUACGUGCCAGCAGCCGCGGUAAUACGUAGGGGGCAAGCGUUAUCCGGAUUUACUGGGUGUAAAGGGGGCGCAGACGGCAGCGCAAGCCAGGAGUGAAAGCCCGGGGCCCAACCCCGGGACUGCUCUUGGAACUGCGCGGCUGGAGUGCAGGAGGGGCAGGCGGAAUUCCUGGUGUAGCGGUGAAAUGCGUAGAUAUCAGGAGGAACACCGGUGGCGAAGGCGGCCUGCUGGACUGCGACUGACGUUGAGGCCCGAAAGCGUGGGGAGCAAACAGGAUUAGAUACCCCAGUAUCA
rnacentral:rRNA from 1 species